UCGUUUCUUCCAAUUUGCUCGCAAACAGCUCCAAAUCACCUGAAAACAACUCAGAAAUGCAAUAUGUAUGCAAAGCUAUCCUAAUCAUGCAAAGUAUGCAAGAAUGAUGAGAAAUGAUAUGAAACAGUGAUGAAUGAUACGAAACUGGACUCAAAACGAUGAUGAAUGGACACUGAAAACAUGCAAAUUAUAGACAUAUCACCUAUGUAUGUGUUCUUGAUUGUACGCUUCACCAUUUUAUUGCCUCUUCCACUUGUUUCUAUAUCGUCAGGAGCCUCUUCUUCCCGAUCAAACCAAAACAACACAUGAACUUUUUCUCCUUCUCGUUCUUUUUAUUUUCUCCCCUUUCGGAUUCUCUGUUAUUGUAUAUCCUUUUAAUGUUG
rnacentral:lncRNA from 1 species